CGAAAGCAACAAGAAAAAUGGUCUCGGCCACAUCACCACUAUCUUCAUCGAGAGAAACAACAAGAUUGCUUUCAACGACAACACCAUCCACAUCAAGAGUGAAAACUGACAAAGAUGCAGCGACAUCA